GCAAACGGGAUUAGAUACCCUGGUAGUCCACGCCGUAAACGAUGUCGACUUGGAGGUUGUUCCCUUGAGGAGUGGCUUCCGGAGCUAACGCGUUAAGUCGACCGCCUGGGGAGUACGGCCGCAAGGUUAAAACUCAAAUGAAUUGACGGGGGCCCGCACAAGCGGUGGAGCAUGUGGUUUAAUUCGAUGCAACGCGAAGAACCUUACCUACUCUUGACAUCCAGAGAACUUAGCAGAGAUGCUUUGGUGCCUUCGGGAACUCUGAGACAGGUGCUGCAUGGCUGUCGUCAGCUCGUGUUGUGAAAUGUUGGGUUAAGUCCCGCAACGAGCGCAACCCUUAUCCUUUGUUGCCAGCGGUUAGGCCGGGAACUCAAAGGAGACUGUCAGUGAUAAACUGGAGGAAGGUGGGGAUGACGUCAAGUCAUCAUGGCCCUUACGAGUAGGGCUACACACGUGCUACAAUGGCGCAUACAAAGAGAAGCGACCUCGCGAGAGCAAGCGGACCUCAUAAAGUGCGUCGUAGUCCGGAUUGGAGUCUGCAACUCGACUCCAUGAAGUCGGAAUCGCUAGUAAUCGUAGAUCAGAAUGCUACGGUGAAUACGUUCCCGGGCCUUGUACACACCGCCCGUCACACCAUGGGAGUGGGUUGCAAAAGAAGUAGGUAGCUUAACCUUCGGGAGGGCGCUUACCACUUUGUGAUUCAUGACUGG
rnacentral:rRNA from 1 species